CCUCCUGGGCACCAGACCCCCCCACUCUUGACAUUUUGUGUGUGUGUGUGUGAUGAUUACUAACAAAACAGAGUGUAAGUUGUAACUUAAUUCAGUAAAAAAAGCCUCUGACGGCCAUUUUCUUUUCCUUUUCCAGCAUUAACUUCAGCCACGACUCGUCCUUCCUGUGCGCCUCCAGCGAUAAAGGCACAGUUCACAUCUUCGCGCUCAAAGACACCAAACUCAACCGCCGCUCGGCGCUGGCCCGUGUUGGGAAGGUGGGCCCUGUGAUUGGUCAGUACGUGGACAGCCAGUGGUCAUUGGCCAGCUUCACCGUGCCGGCAGAGUGCGCCUGUAUCUGCGCCUUUGGAAAGAACACGUCCAAGAACGUCAACUCUGUCAUCGCCAUCUGCGUGGACGGGACCUUCCAUAAGUACGUGUUCACCCCGGACGGAAACUGCAACCGGGAAGCCUUCGACGUUUAUCUGGACAUCUGUGAUGACGACGACUUCUGAAGACAGAUUACAACUUACUGGAGGAAAGGGGGACGAGGGACGAGGAGAAAAGGGGACGAGGACAGCGCUGACGAAUGCAAACAACCGAGUUAUUGAUUAUUGUUGUUUGGGAAAAUGUCUCGAGACGGAGAAUCAGGAGACCGAGGCCGUUUUUUAACAGUGGUUGUGUCCACAGUACGUGGUGGUGUGAAUAUAAAUAUAAAAACACUUUUCUGUUAGCAUAUAUAUAUAUAUAUAUAUAUAUAUAUAUAUAAAGCCUGUACCAGUGUAAGUCAAACUGAAAUUAAAAUUCAUUUUUGAUAAGAAAUCAGUA